rnacentral:rRNA from 1 species
AGAUUGAACGCUGGCGGCAUGCUUUACACAUGCAAGUCGAACGGUAACAGGCCGCAAGGUGCUGACGAGUGGCGAACGGGUGAGUAAUGUAUCGGAACGUGCCCAGUCGUGGGGGAUAACGCAGCGAAAGCUGCGCUAAUACCGCAUACGAUCUAUGGAUGAAAGCGGGGGACCGUAAGGCCUCGCGCGAUUGGAGCGGCCGAUAUCAGAUUAGGUAGUUGGUGGGGUAAAGGCUCACCAAGCCAACGAUCUGUAGCUGGUCUGAGAGGACGACCAGCCACACUGGGACUGAGACACGGCCCAGACUCCUACGGGAGGCAGCAGUGGGGAAUUUUGGACAAUGGGCGCAAGCCUGAUCCGGCAAUGCCGCGUGCAGGGAAGAAGGUCCUUCGGGUUGUAAACGUUGACUUUUGGUAACGGUAACGGAACGGUACCGUGGUUAACUACCGUAGGGCUAAGUGGUACGGUUAACCGUAAGUAAGUAAA